UCUAACAUGUGGCCUGGCCCCCCACCACAUAAACAUUCUCUUGUGUCUUUUAUGUAGAUUUAUCCUUUGCUAGGACACUCUUCAAAUUGCUAGAUCCAUCCCCUUCACAUUUUUUUCUUAGACAUGACAUUUCUAUUAGUUUAACGAAUACGUUUUUCUGCAGGCUGCCAUUGUCAAUUCCCAAACUCUUGAAGAGGUGGCAAUGCUAGAAAAUGCUUUAAAGUCUGGCCAACUUCCGGCAGAUCUGAUUAUCAGUGAUGGCGAUGCCAGUUCCAAGAAAGAUGAUGCUAAAGAAGACAAAAUGGUUACUGAUGGUGAGAAUGAAGCAAGUAAUGAGCAAGGAAAUAGUGUUGCUGUACAGAAGGAUGAUGGACCUACAGCAAUGGAACAGGAAUAGGCUAUAAUGCUAUAUAUCUGACCAGCAUGUGAUGAGGUCGGUUCUCCCAAUCCAUCAUUGACACAUCAUCUAAAUUGGUUUUUGCGGAUGUUGAGCUUUUACCCUUUUGAUAGCUGAGGAUUUAUUAGAGCCUUUUACAGAAGCUGUUUUGUCUAGUGUAUUGCUAAGAUCCAUGUGAGACACUAAUGGGUGACAAAGGAGAGUUUGAUCAAUUAAUUGCUCUUCUAAUCAUCAAAGGUGAUCCUAUGGAAUGUAACGCAAAUUAAGGUAUGCUUUUUACACUGUUCUUGUACUAUCAUCUUGAGUCUCUAGUAGUUUGAUUAUAUGAUAUUAUGUGCAUGCUUAAAGUAUUUAUGUUUU